rnacentral:rRNA from 1 species
ACGAACGCUGGCGGCACGCUUAACACAUGCAAGUCGAACGAGAGAAGAGGAGCUUGCUUUUCUGAUCUAGUGGCGGACGGGUGAGUAACACGUGAGCAAUCUGCCUUUCAGAGGGGGAUACCGAUUGGAAACGAUCGUUAAUACCGCAUAACAUAAUUGAACCGCAUGAUUUGAUUAUCAAAGAUUUAUCGCUGAAAGAUGAGCUCGCGUCUGAUUAGCUAGUUGGUAAGGUAACGGCUUACCAAGGCGACGAUCAGUAGCCGGACUGAGAGGUUGAUCGGCCACAUUGGGACUGAGACACGGCCCAGACUCCUACGGGAGGCAGCAGUGGGGAAUAUUGCACAAUGGAGGAAACUCUGAUGCAGCGAUGCCGCGUGAGGGAAGAAGGUUUUAGGAUUGUAAACCUCUGUCUUCAGGGACGAAAAAAGACGGUACCUGAGGAGGAAGCUCCGGCUAACUACGUGCCAGCAGCCGCGGUAAUACGUAGGGAGCGAGCGUUGUCCGGAAUUACUGGGUGUAAAGGGAACGUAGGCGGGAUCGCAAGUCAGAUGUGAAAACUAUGGGCUUAACCCAUAAACUGCAUUUGAAACUGUGGUUCUUGAGUGAAGUAGAGGUAAGCGGAAUUCCUAGUGUAGCGGUGAAAUGCGUAGAUAUUAGGAGGAACAUCAGUGGCGAAGGCGGCUUACUGGGCUUUAACUGACGCUGAGGCUCGAAAGCGUGGGGAGCAAACAGGAUUGGAUGCCCGGGUAGUCCACGCCGUAAACGAUGAUUACUAGGUGUGGGGGGACUGACCCCUUCCGUGCCGCAGCAAACGCAAUAAGUAAUCCACCUGGGGAGUACGACCGCAAGGUUGAAACUCAAAGGAAUUGACGGGGGCCCGCACAAGCAGUGGAGUAUGUGGAUUAAUUCGAAGCAACGCGAAGAACCUUACCAGGUCUUGACAUCGUAUGCAUAGCUCAGAGAUGAGUGAAAUCUCUUCGGAGACAUAUAGACAGGUGGUGCAUGGUUGUCGUCAGCUCGUGUCGUGAGAUGUUGGGUUAAGUCCCGCAACGAGCGCAACCCUUACUGUUAGUUGCUACGCAAGAGCACUCUAGCAGGACUGCCGUUGACAAAACGGAGGAAGGUGGGGAUGACGUCAAAUCAUCAUGCCCCUUAUGACCUGGGCCUCACACGUACUACAAUGGCUGUCAACAGAGGGAAGCAAAGCCGCGAGGUGGAGCAAACCCCUAAAAGCAGUCUUAGUUCGGAUUGUAGGCUGCAACCCGCCUACAUGAAGUCGGAAUUGCUAGUAAUCGCAGAUCAGCAUGCUGCGGUGAAUACGUUCCCGGGCCUUGUACACACCGCCCGUCACGCCAUGGGAGUCGGUAACACCCGAAGCCUGUAGUCUAACCGCAAGGAGGACGCAGUCGAAGGUGGGAUUGAUGACUGGGGUG